rnacentral:rRNA from 2 species
UUGACCUCAAAUCGGGUGGGACUACCCGCUGAACUUAA